rnacentral:lncRNA from 1 species
AUGAAAUUGUUACACAUAAAAAAUAAGUUAAAAAUUAAUAAAAAUAAUAUUUUUCAGAAUUUAAUUGUAGCUAUUGAUGCAAACCAAAAUAAAAAAUAUUUUUUUAGACAAAAUGGUGGCAAUCCAUCUCAUGUUUCAACGAUGAAAGUAAAUGAAACAAGAGCAGCAAAUAGAGAGAAUAAAGCAAAAGACAUUAGGAAAAAAGAGAGAAGAA